rnacentral:rRNA from 1 species
AGUGAACGCUGGCGGUAGGCCUAACACAUGCAAGUCGAACGGCAGCACAGUAAGAGCUUGCUCUUACGGGUGGCGAGUGGCGGACGGGUGAGGAAUACAUCGGCAUCUACUUUUUCGUGGGGGAUAACGUAGGGAAACUUACGCUAAUACAGCAUACGACCUACGGGUGAAAGCAGGGGAUCAUCGGACCUUGCGCGACUCAAUUAGCCGAUGUCGGAUUAGCUAGUUGGCGGGGUAAAGGCCCACCAAGGCGACGAUCCGUAGCUGGUCUGAGAGGAUGAUCAGCCACACUGGAACUGAGACACGGUCCAGACUCCUACGGGAGGCAGCAGUGGGGAAUAUUGGACAAUGGGCGCAAGCCUGAUCCAGCCAUACCGCGUGGGUGAAGAAGGCCUUCGGGUUGUAAAGCCCUUUUGUUGGGAAAGAAAAGCAGCAGGUUAAUACCCCGCUGUUCUGACGGUACCCAAAGAAUAAGCACCGGCUAACUUCGUG